UACAGAGGUCCCAAGCGUUUGUUCGGAUUCACUGGGCGUAAAGGGUGCGCAGGUGGUCGGGUAAGUCUGACGUGAAAUCCCGCAGCUUAACUGCGGAAUGGCAUUGGAUACUAUUCGGCUAGAGGGUUGGAGGGGGGACUGGAAUUCUCGGUGUAGCAGUGAAAUGCGUAGAUAUCGAGAGGAACACCAGUGGCGAAGGCGAGUCCCUGGACAACUCCUGACGCUGAGGCACGAAAGCUAGGGGAGCAAACAGG
rnacentral:rRNA from 1 species